rnacentral:rRNA from 1 species
GACGAACGCUGGCGGCGUGCUUAACACAUGCAAGUCGAGCGGUAAGGCCCUUUCGGGGGUACGACGAGCGGCGAACGGGUGAGUAACACGUGGGUGACCUGCCCUUAGCUCUGGGAUAAGCCUGGGAAACUGGGUCUAAUACCGGAUAUGACUCCAUGACGCAUGUUGUGGGGUGGAAAGCCUUGUGCGGCUAGGGAUGGGCCCGCGGCCUAUCAGCUUGUUGGUGGGGUGANGGCCUACCAAGGCGACGACGGGUAGCCGGCCUGAGAGGGCGACCGGCCACACUGGGACUGAGACACGGCCCAGACUCCUACGGGAGGCAGCAGUGGGGAAUCUUGCGCAAUGGGCGAAAGCCUGACGCAGCGACGCCGCG